rnacentral:lncRNA from 1 species
AACUCUUUAGCAUUUUCACCAGUCUUGGGUCGAGACGCUGAUCAAAAUGAAUAUCCAUUUUUGGUAGCACUUGAAACAUGCCAAAAACCAGUGCCAUGCUUUCCACAAUGCGGUGGAGUGGUUCUUUCCAAGAGUUGGAUUCUAACACUUAGUAGCUGUAUAUAUCGUGGAAAUGUGAGGGUAAAUGCAGGAGUAGUAGACUUAAGCAGUCCAGACGCACAAAUUCGAGAGGUCGAAAAA